AUUGAACGCUGGCGGCAGGCCUAACACAUGCAAGUCGAGCGGAUGAGAGGAGCUUGCUCCUCGAUUCAGCGGCGGACGGGUGAGUAAUGCCUAGGAAUCUGCCUAGUAGUGGGGGACAACGUUUCGAAAGGAACGCUAAUACCGCAUACGUCCUACGGGAGAAAGUGGGGGAUCUUCGGACCUCACGCUAUUAGAUGAGCCUAGGUCGGAUUAGCUAGUUGGUAGGGUAAAGGCCUACCAAGGCGACGAUCCGUAACUGGUCUGAGAGGAUGAGCAGUCACACUGGAACUGAGACACGGUCCAGACUACUACGGGAGGCAGCAGUGGGGAAUAUUGGACAAUGGGCGAAAGCCUGAUCCAGCCAUGCCGCGUGUGUGAAGAAUGCCUUCGGGUCGUAAGGCACUUUAAGUUGGGAGGAAGAGCUCAUAGCGAAUACCUGUGAGUUUUGACGUUACCAACAGAAUAAGCACCGGCUAACUUCGUGCCAGCAGCCGCAGUAA
rnacentral:rRNA from 1 species